GAGGGUAGCAGGGGACAGGGGACAGGCAGGAGGAUGGGGUGGGGGGGGGUUGCUGAGACACUCUGCACAGUCUGAUUUGAGCCACUUCUCCUCCCCACCCCUCAGGGAGGCCUUUUCAGGAUUCUGCUGCUUGUUGGCUCCCCCCAGAAGACACUUCCCUGGGACCUGGCAGUUAAGCCUGUCGGGCUCCAGAAAAGGGGGCGCUGCCUUUGGCGUCCACCUCAUGCCCGGGAGCUGAGAGUAAAGAUCUUGUUCAUUCUGCUCUGCUGGAGAGAAGACCGUUGCCAAACCAGAGCGCUCGUUUUUAUUGUUUUUCUAGAACAACAGGACUGUUAUUACAAGUGUUCUGGAACAGAGGACCGGGAAGCUAAAAACAGAUUCCACAGCAUCUUAAAAAUAGCCAGUAGCAUGUGAAUUGCUCGACUAGCAAGGCAAGACUCUUGACGUGUCUGACACAUUUGUGAACCACUGUUUGGCUACCGGUCCCCACUAUUUCGCAGCCUCCUCUUAAGAGAAAAGCCAGCACCCCUGGCCAGCUCCCAUCUCCGCCGGAAGGGCUCUGGGAUGCUGUGCUUUGAGGGUAGACACAGUUCUAGAAGGCGAGCUCUGGCCAGAAGACAGCCUGGGAGACGCAUUUCUGCCAAGGGAUGUGUGUCUCCCCCACCCCCUCUCUUCCAGGCUGCUCCCAGCACUGUCACCCCAGACAGUGAGCGCAGCACCCAGAAGGGGCAGACGGGGAGAACAUCAGAGGGGGUGCUGGGGAAGGACAGGCCCCGUGAUCAGCGGGACAUCUCGGAGGCAUUCGGAGACACAGAGACGAUCUUAUUUGUCAGAGAGAGAGCACAAGGAGGCAGAGUGGCAGGCAGAGGCCAAGAGAAGCAGGCUCCCUGCUGAGCGAGGAGCCCAAAGCAGGACUUGAUCCCAGGACCCUGGGAUCAUGACCCAGGCCGAAGGGAGCUGUUUCACCAACUGAGGCACCCAGGUGUCCAGGAUUUUUUGAUCUUUGACUGUAAUUUUCUUUUGGUGUGCUCAAUAAUUAAAAUAAAGGGAGAAAGGGAAAACAACAGGUGCAAAAUACGGAGGAAGGAGGGUUAACAUGAGUCAGUGUCUCUGGGAACAGUCAAGAAAGCAUCACGGGGCCAGCACCAGGCUGGGUUUUAAAAGAGGAGCAGAAGGUGAGUUUGCAAAAGAAGAGGUCAAGGCACCGGACGUGUGGAGGCUUGGGGUUGGGGGCAGAGAAAUGAGAGCUGCUGUCUUCUUCCAAAUGUCCUCGCAGGCUCUUAACUAACUGCUCUAGUGGGGAAACCAGCAUCCUGAUUUUUAGAUAGAACCCUGCACUUGGAACGACAUGAAAUCCUUGAGUAAAGAAAGGCUUCUCGCCACCCCAGGCCAUCUCCUGCUCCCAGCGUGAAUGUCAUUCUGUCACUUGGAGCGUGACCCGCACGGUCCCCUGCCGAUGCUGUGUUCUGGGCAGCCACGGUGAGGACGCGACACAGCACACCCAGGGGUGUGGAGUCGGCCUUGGAAGGAGCCUGGGUAGCAAACGCCCCCAACAGAGUCCUGAAGAAGGGGGGACUCACCCAAGGUCCUGCGGUGAGGAUUUCAGAGCGACCAUGUGUUGAGGGCUCUGGGGCCCUGGCCCUCUGUGACAUUCCGAUGGUUUGACCUGUAGCAGCAUUAUGGGGUAGAUCCUGAGGACCCCUAUUUGACAGACAAGGCACUGAAGCUCAGAGAGCCCAAGACACUUGCCCACAGUCACACAGCCCAUCAGUGCCAGAGCCUCAGGUGGUCUCACUGCUGAGCCCAGGCUCCCCUGACACCUGUCCUGGCACUAGGGCCACCUGUCCCGGUCCCUGGCUGUGCCCUCCAUCACCAGUGAGCCACCCCAGCCAGCAGACCAGCAGACAGUAGCACAGAUGGUUUUGGUGGCAUUGGCACAGUGUGUGCUACUGUCCCUUGAGGAUCCUCUCUCCCAGACUGAGACGGCAUCUUCCACACCCUGGAAAGAUCUCUGUCCAUCUUCAGUUUGCAAACCUGGCGCUCAUGUCCCCACCUCUAAGUGGCCGCCUGAGAAGAGGGUUAUCUGAAUGCGCGAACGCGGGGAGGCGGAACCUACGCCACUUGGACAACAUGCAUCUCUAAGUCUCUCCUGUCUGGAUGAGAUGUGAGCACCAGACACUCUUAAAGCAAACUUUGGUUGCCAUGGUAACUGGGCCUUCAGACUCUUCCCGGCUUGAACAGUGCCAGCCACGCAGCCGGGUCUUAUCUCUAACACCCAGCGCUCAGUGAGUCACUCCCGCGUCUCUGGCUGCAGGCUGCCCAACUCGGGGCGGGGUGGGGGUGGCCAAAGGGGCGAGGUGGGGCAAGGGGGGGAAGGGAAGCUCUCCUUACUGGCCGCAGCGUUCUUCAGCCUCCGGAGCAAAUUGCCAAGUCAGUACUUGGAUCCUGUCUUCCGUGUUUUGUUGGGGGAACAGGCAUCGCAAGGGGGGGGGGUGUUGCUGCCUCCCAGACCCGGCUUCUGUUUCUUUGUUUUAUUUAAGAUUUUAUUAAAUAAUCUCUUCACCCCACGAGGGGCCCGAACUCACAACUCCAAGAUCGAGAGUCGCAAGCUCCACCAACGGAGCCAGCCAGGCGCCCCCCAGCGGUGAGGGUCGGAAGUGACCCUGGUGUCCAGGGAUUAGUGGCCCCGAGGAGAGGAGCGAGCACGGGAUCAGGGUGGUGGGCCAGGCCAGGGAGAGAGUUCGGCUGUGGCUGCUCCUCUUGUGGUGCUGGCUGCCUGGGCCUGUGGCCGGUGGGGGGGUCCACAUGGCCCCCCAAGACUGUUGCCCACACCUGGGGCCCAGCAGGAAAGAAGAGAUGUGCAGGCAGUUAGCAAGGAGUCGGACAAACGGUCUCAGGUUGGAGAGUCAGGAGACAUGACAACACAACACAGGAGGGGUUCUGCACCCAAAAAUGACAGUAGGGAAACCCCAGAAAAUUGGAAUCAAGUUUGCAGGAACGUGAAUGGUAUGGGACGUACCUCAGCCAGUGCCCCGGCUCUGUAAUCCUUCUAUGGUGAUAGCACGUGUCAGCCCCCAGGGAAGCUGGGGCUCGAGGGAAACACACUGUACUAUCUUGGCAACUCUUCCAAAGAUGAUUUCAAAAUAAAAUGUUUAAAAAUCGUAUGUUUUUUCUCAUGAGAAUAAAAGGAGUUACUGCCUUUCAUAUCUUGGGACCUCCUAAACUCACUUUGCCAGAGUGCCUUAUUUCUUUGCCCGUCCCCCUGUGACACAGGCGUGUCACCCAGGCCAUGGGUGUCACCCAGGCAAAGGGCCAAGAAGCUGUAGGGAAACAGAGGAAAUAGCGGUUGACCUCUUCUUAACACUGUAACAUCUUCCUAAAUUCUUUACUGUUCCAGUUACUCAGGCAAAAACCCUGGGGUCAUCUUGAACUCCUCUCUCUCACAGCACAUCAAACAUCAGUAGUUCCCUUGGUUUGGCCUUCUGAUGACAUAGCCGGAAUCUGGCAGCUUCUGACCACCUCCACGGUCUCUCAUUCCUUGCCAGACUCCUUGCUCUCCAUCCCUAAU